CAGGAAACCUGGCCUGGAGUGCAUAGAAGCCUCCCUGGGAGGAGUGAAACCCCAGCGACAUCUUAACAUUUCAGCAGAAAUUUGCUGGGAGGAAAGGAGCAGGGAAAAGCAUUGUAGGUGGAGGGAACAGCUUUCACAAAGAUGCUCCAGGACGUUUCCCCUUUGGAGGCUGCUCGAGAUACCUGGCUGAUAAAGGGCUGAUUUGUGGAGACUUAAUUAUGGCCCCAAGCCCUCGGUGUAAACAAUCGAUCAGCCGAGGACUCUUCAGCAUUUCCAUCCAAGAGACGCCCGGCCAGCCGCCAGCCCCCUGUGGAGGGACAAGAAAAUGGUGCAAGGAGACUUGAGCGCCAUGGAAACCCCUCCCACGUUCACGGGAAGCACGCGGCGCUCACCGGGGUGUCUGUAAACGUGGGGUCCAGGGAAAAGGGCAAGGCGUGGGCCUGAUCACAAAAGCUGGAAAUCAGGACAGAGGGACCCUAGAAGCUGCUAGGGCUGCCUUGGAAGGAAUAUUCGAGAGCACCUUUCACAGGGGAAGAUGGUACCUGGCUGGUGGAGGGUCAGAAGCCAGGGAACUGGGCAAACGCCCUUCAGUUUCAAAAAAGGUCACAGAGGCGUCCCCUCGUGUCUUCCCCCCAGCGCCUGGCAGACAGCGGGCGCACCAGGCCCGGGUUCUCCUCGUUCGGGGGCCAGUGAGAGCAGAAAAGCAGGCUCUUGCCAAGCGAGCACUGAUCAGGGGACCCCCAAAGAUGAACAGAACCCCAAAGAGGGACUCACCACUUUUCUCAGGUGGGUGGUGAUGACAGUAAAAACCAUCGUAGAAAAAGAGAAG